UACGUAGGGGGCAAGCGUUGUCCGGAUUCAUUGGGCGUAAAGGGUGCGUAGGCGGCGCGGUAAGUCGGGUGUGAAAUCUCGGGGCUUAACUCCGAAACUGCAUUCGAUACUGCUCUGCUUGAGGACUGGAGAGGAGACUGGAAUUCACGGUGUAGCAGUGAAAUGCGUAGAUAUCGUGAGGAAGACCAGUGGCGAAGGCGGGUCUCUGGACAGUUCCUGACGCUGAGGCGCGAAGGCCAGGGGAGCAAACGGG
rnacentral:rRNA from 1 species